UUUAUUUAUUUGCUUUAUUUUUUAUAUUGGUCGCUGGACUCUUCGUGGAAUAUCUGAACCGAAUAUUAAAGCCUGAAGAAUGAUGUGUUCUGCGGAGAUGGAAAGCGGAUCAUCCAGGGAAUUACAACCUGCGACCACUGGGAGGAGUUCCUGCUUGAUUUCCUGGACAGAUGGAGCGGGCUUGAGUGCCCACUGGAGUGUGUGUUUUGUGGGUGCGCUGUACCUUGGGCUAGGGUUGAUAAAUAUUGACGAAUUGUGGUAGGAAU
rnacentral:lncRNA from 1 species